UGUUUUCUAACAGCCGAAGAGUCAUACUACAAACAUGACGUUGAGAUUACAUACAGGAAGUGUCGCACCGAGCUGAGGACGGAGUUAUACGAGGACAUGAGCAGAAAUGAACUCAGAUCAAACGGCUUUCUGCCCGCUCGCCUCUUCAUCGCAGCUUCUGCACCCUGCGCUCACAGAAGUCAUUAUUACAACCUCCUAUAAAUGAGGAGAAAGCUGCCUGUUGCUGGCAGAGGAUGGAGGUAAGGAGUCCAGCCCCAUCAGAGCUGUCAGGACAUUUGACUGAUGUCUAACCUGGUCCUCCCUGCAGCACGGACACCUGCUGCGAGCGCCAGACUUCUGUGCACCUUGUGCCUGUCGUGCAGAAGUUCUCCUCUUCCUCCCGUAAUGAUGGUCUUUCAGGUG